GAUGAACGCUAGCGGCAGGCUUAAUACAUGCAAGUCGAGGGGCAGCAUGAUUGUAGCAAUACAAUUGAUGGCGACCGGCAAACGGGUGCGGAACCCGAACACCACCUUCCAACAAGUGGGGGAUAGGCCAGAGAAAUUUGGAUUAAUACCCCGUAACCUAGCCAUGUGGCAUCACAUUGCGAUUAUAGAUUUUUCGCUUGUUGAUUGGUGUGCGGCUGAUUAGAUAGUUGGCGGGGUAACGGCCCACCAAGGUUACGAUCAGUAGCUAAUGUGUGAGGAUGAUCAGCCACACGGGCACUGAGAAACGGGACCGGCUCCUACGGGAGGAAGCAGUAAGGAAGAUUGGACAAUGGACGAAAGUCUGAUCCAGCCAUGCCGUGUGAAGGAUUAAGGUCCUCUGGAUUGUAAACUUCUUUUAUAAGGGACGAAAAAAGGCUUUUCUAAGUCGUCUGACGGUACCUUAUGAAUAAGCACCGGCUAACUCCGUGCCAGCAGCCGCCGUAACAC
rnacentral:rRNA from 1 species